GACGAACGCUGGCGGCGUGCCUAAUACAUGCAAGUCGAGCGAAGUUUUUCUGGUGCUUGCACUAGAAAAACUUAGCGGCGAACGGGUGAGUAACACGUAAAGAACCUGCCUCAUAGACUGGGACAACUAUUGGAAACGAUAGCUAAUACCGGAUAACAGCAUUAACUGCAUGGUUGAUGUUUAAAAGUUGGUUUUGCUAACACUAUGAGGUGGCUUUGCGGUGCAUUAGCUAGUUGGUGGGGUAAAGGCCUACCAAGGCGACGAUGCAUAGCCGACCUGAGAGGGUGAUCGGCCACACUGGGACUGAGACACGGCCCAGACUCCUACGGGAGGCAGCAGUAGGGAAUCUUCCGCAAUGGGCGAAAGCCUGACGGAGCAACGCCGCGUGAGUGAAGAAGGAUUUCGGUUCGUAAAGCUCUGUUGUUAGGGAAGAAUGAUUGUGUAGUAACUAUACACAGUAGAGACGGUACCUAACCAGAAAGCCACGGCUAACUACGUG
rnacentral:rRNA from 1 species